rnacentral:tRNA from 1 species
CGCCCGGUAGCUCAGUGGUUAGAGCUCUGGCUUCAGAAGCCAGAGGACCGAGGUUCGAUUCCCCGGCCGGGUGG